GACGAACGCUGGCGGCGCGCCUAACACAUGCAAGUCGAACGAGAGAUGAGGAGCUUGCUCUUCAAAUCGAGUGGCGAACGGGUGAGUAACGCGUGAGGAACCUGCCUCAAAGAGGGGGACAACAGUUGGAAACGACUGCUAAUACCGCAUAAGCCCACGGCUCGGCAUCGAGCAGAGGGAAAAGGAGCAAUCCGCUUUGAGAUGGCCUCGCGUCCGAUUAGCUGGUUGGUGAGGUAACGGCCCACCAAGGCGACGAUCGGUAGCCGGACUGAGAGGUUGAACGGCCACAUUGGGACUGAGACACGGCCCAGACUCCUACGGGAGGCAGCAGUGGGGAAUAUUGCACAAUGGGGGAAACCCUGAUGCAGCGACGCCGCGUGGAGGAAGAAGGUCUUCGGAUUGUAAACUCCUGUUGUUGAGGAAGAUAAUGACGGUACUCAACAAGGAAGUGA
rnacentral:rRNA from 1 species